rnacentral:misc_RNA from 1 species
AAGUCGUAACAAGGUUUCCGUAGGUGAACCUGCGGAAGGAUCAUUACAUUCAGUAGCUUGCUACUGUUAGGGGGGUCGAUCAGCCUGUAUAGUAUCACUACUGAUGAGCAGCACAACCCCCUGUCUGUACCCUUGUCUUUUGCGCACUCAUGUUUCCUCGGCGGGUCUAUGCCCGCCGGCUGGACAACUCUAUAACCUUUUUAAUUUUCAAUCAGCGUCUGAAAAGCCUAAUAAUUACAACUUUCAACAACGGAUCUCUUGGUUCUG